rnacentral:rRNA from 1 species
AGUGAACGCUGGCGGUAGGCCUAACACAUGCAAGUCGAACGGCAGCACAGUAAGAGCUUGCUCUUACGGGUGGCGAGUGGCGGACGGGUGAGGAAUACAUCGGAAUCUACUUUUUCGUGGGGGAUAACGUAGGGAAACUUACGCUAAUACCGCAUACGACCUACGGGUGAAAGCAGGGGAUCUUCGGACCUUGCGCGAUUGAAUGAGCCGAUGUCGGAUUAGCUAGUUGGCGGGGUAAAGGCCCACCAAGGCGACGAUCCGUAGCUGGUCUGAGAGGAUGAUCAGCCACACUGGAACGGAGACACGGUCCAGACGCCUAAGGGAGGCAGCAGUGGGGAAUAUUGGACAAAGGGCGCAAGCCUGAUCCAGCCGUACCGCGUGGGUGAAGAAGGCCUUCGGGUUGUAAAGCCCUUUUGUUGGGAAAGAAAAGCAGCAGGUUAAUACCCCGCUGUUCUGACGGUACCCAAAGAAUAAGCACCGGCUAACUUCGUG